rnacentral:rRNA from 1 species
UACGUAGGGUGCGAGCGUUAAUCGGAAUUACUGGGCGUAAAGCGUGCGCAGGCGGCGCGUUAAGACAGGUGUGAAAGCCCCGAGCUUAACUUGGGAAUUGCGCUUGUGACUGGCGUGCUGGAGUGUGGCAGAGGGAGGUGGAAUUCCACGUGUAGCAGUGAAAUGCGUAGAGAUCGGGAAGAACAUCAGUGGCGAAGGCGGCCUGCUGGGCUGUUGCUGACGCUGAGGCGCGACAGCGUGGGGAGCAAACAGG